rnacentral:rRNA from 1 species
UCNGGAAAGUCUGGAGUAAAAGGNUAUGGCUCAACCAUAGUGUGCUCUGGAAACUGUNUGACUUGAGUGCAGAAGGGGAGAGUGGAAUUCCANGUGUAGCGGUGAAAUGCGUAGAUAUAUGGAGGAACACCAGUGGCGAAAGCGGCUCUCUGGUCUGUCACUGACGCUGAGGCUCGAAAGCGUGGGUAGCGAACAGGAUUAGAUACCCUGGUAGUNCACGCCGUAAACGAUGAGUGCUAGGUGUUAGGCCCUUUCCGGGGCUUAGUGCCGGAGCUAACGCAAUAAGCACUCCGCCUGGGGAGUACGACCGCAAGGUUGAAACUCAAAGGAAUUGACGGGGGCCCGCACAAGCGGUAGAGCAUGUGGUUUAAUUCGAAGCAACGCGAAGAACCUUACCAGGUCUUGACAUCCCGAUGCUAUUCUUAGAGAUAGGAAGUUACUUCGGUACAUCGGAGACGGGUGGUGCAUGGUUGUCGUCAGCUCGUGUCGUGAGAUGUUGGGUUAAGUCCCGCAACGAGCGCAACCCUUAUUGUUAGUUGCCAUCAUUAAGUUGGGCACUCUAGCGAGACUGCCGGUAAUAAACCGGAGGAAGGUGGGGAUGACGUCAAAUCAUCAUGCCCCUUAUGACCUGGGCUACACACGUGCUACAAUGGUCGGUACAACGAGUUGCGAGCCGGUGACGGCAAGCUAAUCUCUGAAAGCCGAUCUCAGUUCGGAUUGGAGGCUGCAACUCGCCUCCAUGAAGUCGGAAUCGCUAGUAAUCGCGGAUCAGCACGCCGCGGUGAAUACGUUCCCGGGCCUUGUACACACCGCCCGUCACACCACGAGAGUUUGUAACACCCGAAGUCGGUGAGGUAACCUUUUAGGGGCCAGCCGC